rnacentral:lncRNA from 1 species
GUUACCCUAUAUUAUUUUUCAAUUAUAAUAAUUUAUGAUUGUUUUAUUUUUUUUAUCCAUGAAAUCUAAAUUGAGUUUUGAGAAAUUCGGAGAUUGGUAAGUAAACAGAGUCUUAAUAUAAUAUACAUGUAAUACAGCCCUUACUGAAGUUCGUUUAAAUAAUGUAUUUGAAGCCAUGUGUCAAUUUGGCAUUAUUUGCACCCCUUUCCCAGGAAAUCCUAAAUUUAUCCCUAUAGAGUCCAAAUUUGUCUUUUGUAAAAUAUCUUUAAUUCCACAUGGAGCAGCUUCUCGGGUAAAAUUUAGCCACUCUCCCAACAUUGUAUUCUGUUCUUCAAACGAGUUUAUUAGCUGAUGAUUGGGUGCCAGUUUAUUAAAAGUAUGUCCAAUUUAAUAUCAAAAGCUAUAGCGUUAAGUGUUCUUUCAACUUCACAGACGAGAAGAUCAUAUUUUAUGUUUCUUCAUUGACGAAGAUUUUUUUAUAUGGCAUAAUGCAACAAAGUCGAUCGAGUUUUCAUGCCAGAAUUGAAUUCUUCGACCUAACGAUACAGAAAUUUGCAAAUUUUUAUUUUGUAAAAUUAUUUGGAUUGAGUGCAUUUUACUUACGG